ensembl:snoRNA
GAGCAUGGCAGUUGGACAGGCAUUCUGCGUCUCUUGAAAGAGCACGGAUUUAUCCGUGCCAUGCAACAUGAAUGAGAUGAGAAGUUCUCAGGGCUGCCAACCUUUCAGUUAAGGUUUUUGUGGUAGUAUAUUUCUUCUACAAUA